rnacentral:lncRNA from 1 species
GCUUAGUUUCUCGAUUGUAGAUAGUGGAGAUUCCACUCAUUCUUUCAUUGAUUGAAUAGAGAAAUUCUGGAAAGUUCCUCAAUCUCUUCCUUCGCCAUCUCUCUCACUGUGACCUUUCAUGGCGUAGAGGCUUGGAUCAUUUCUCCAUUGAAGCUCAAUUGAGCUUCAAAUUACUAUUUCAUUGAAAGUUUUGAUAUGGUAUCAGAGCAAGGUCAGAAGUUUUGAUUUAUUUUCUCAGAUAUGUUAAAUCUAGGUUCAUCAUUCUUGAUUUUAUUUUGACUAUGCGCAUAUAGAUUUUGAUCUCAUCGAUUUCAAUUUAUUCCUCUUAGAAUCCUCUAUCAGAAUUCUAGAUCUGUAGUUAGAAUCUUCUAUUGGUUAAUUAGUUGAAUUUUACACCUUGUAAGAGAUGGCUACUGACGGAGAUGAUGAACAGUCUACACCGACCAUGGCUGGAUCUCCUAAUCAGCCAAUUAUUGACACUAGCAGUCCUUUUUAUAUGCAUCCCUCUAAUAAUCCGGGAAUAGCCCUAGUUCCUGUUCCAUUUGAUGGAUUUGGAUAUUGAUCAUGGAGAAAAGGUGUGAUGCGAUCAUUAUCUAUGAAGAAUAAGUUGGGAUUUAUCAAUGGUGAAUGCAAGAGACCAGAUCCAGAUUCAUCAAAAUUUCUUCUGUGGGAAAGGUGUGAUGAUAUGGUCACCUCAUGGAUCCUAAACUCCUUAGCUAAGGAAGCUGCAUAUAGUGUUGAGUAUGUAGCAAAUGCAUUCGAAUUAUGGAGAGAUCUUGAGGAUCGAUAUGAUCAAACAAAUAGAACAAAACUGUACCAAAUUCAAAAAGAAAUCAAUGAUCUAUCCCAAGGAGUCCUUGAUGUCACCAGUUAUUACACAAAAAUAAAAAAAUUAUGAGAGGAACUCAAUACCUUGAUUGCUAAAUCUCAUUGCACUUGUAACUGCACAUGUGGAGCCAAGGAGAGCAUGCAUAAAGCUGAGCAAGAUAGGAGGUUGAUACAAUUCCUUAUGGGAUUGAAUGAGACACACAUUGUAGUUCUGUCACGACCCCAAAUACCCGAUUGUGAUGGCGCCUAUCACAUUACUAGGCAAAAUAACAAAUUUCUACAACAAAUUCCUUUUAUAAAACCAUUUUUUUCUUACACAGGUUUAAAGCCUCAAUUUUUCAUAUGAAAUGCAUAAAACAACCAAAAGGUGCGGAAAUCAAUACAAUGUUAAACCAACACAACCCAAACAUCUAGUGUCACAAGUCUAGAGCUUCUAACAUAUACAAAUCUGACUGUCUGAUACAAAACAAGUUUAAAAUGCGGUAAAACAAGGAUAGAGGAAGAAAGAAGGGUUGCAGACGCCAUGCAGCUACCUUGCAGUCUCCGUCAAACUCUGAUAAUGCUAAGGACCCUCACUCUACCGCUCGGGCACCUAGAUCUGCACACAUGGUGCCGGAGUAACGUGAGUACACCAACUCAGUAAGUAACUAAAGUAAAUAAGGUCUGAAAGCAGUGACGAACAGUUAAAAUCAUAUAAAGGAGUAAUAAACAAGAUAAUAGAUCAAACUCUACAGUUUAAAACCAGUUUCGUCAUAAAAUCUCCAAUUUUAUUUGGAAUACUUGAAAUCAUUUACUUAGAAAUUCAUCAACAGAGGCUUAUUUUAAAAAGAUGAGUGAAAGCAGUGAAAAUAUCAUAAAUGGGCCCCACGGCAAGAUAUCACUCAGAAUGUGGCCUCUCAGGCAGCCUCCCAGUCACUCGUGACUCAGCUCUCGCCACCGAGUACUCAUAGUUAGCACUCUGGCUCAUUAAUAUCUCAUAAUAUUAAUAAUCAUAGUAACCACUACGGUGUGCAGCCCGUUCCAUAAUUUAUAGUCGACGAUGCUCACUGGGGGUGUACAGACUCUGGAGGGGCUCCUAUAACCCAAGCGUCAUAUCGCUGUAGCGCGCAGCCCGAUCAAAUAUAUAUAUCGUUGUGGCGUGCAGCCCGAUCCAUAAUUCAUACAUAUAUAAAUAUCCUCACCAUUAGGUUUUCAACCUCUCUCAAUCAUUAACCUCACAACUUCUCGGGCACAAUAGUAGAAAUUAGGGAACUCAGUCCAAACAAUCCUCACAUUUAAGAAGUAGAGUGAUAAAACCAGUUGUGAACAAUAAAUAGGUAAACCAUGACUGAGGAUAUGCUUUCAAACAAGUAGAGUGAGGAAAAACAAUAAAAAUGCCCCUAAAGGCCUCAACAGGUCGGCACAAGGCCUCAAACAUGGCAUAUAACCCAUAAUACAGUAUAAUGACUAAAGUAUAGAAUAUCAUAAGGCUUCAAAUCAAAUAUGCGGCUUAAUAGUUACUACGGGACGGACCAAGCCACAAUCCCUACCAGUGCACGCCCAUACGCUCGUCACCUAGCAUGUGCAUCAUUGCAUUCAUCAAAACAAUUCGAAUACUGGGGUUUUGUACCCNNNNNNNNNNNNNNNNNNNNNNNNNNNNNNNNNNNNNNNNNNNNNNNNNNNNNNNNNNNNNNNNNNNNNNNNNNNNNNNNNNNNNNNNNNNNNNNNNNNNNNNNNNNNAGAAAUACUACUCUGCGAUUCCUUUGCCCCUUGAAUUGGCCUCCACUCACGUCAAAUCUGUCCAAAAUCAGAAUCACGGCGUCAAAAUAUGCUAAGGGAAUGAAGCCCAAGCGAUAAUAAUCAAAUUAUACCAAAAAUCUUGAAAUUGGCCAAACCCGACCCCCGGAUCCACAUCUCGAAACUCGAUAAAAAUCACAUCAACGGAAUCCUUAUCUUCAACGAGUCCAUUCAUACCAAGAACACUGAAAUCAGAGUCCAAAUGACCCCUCAAAUUCCCAUUUUAAAGUCUCUUAAUCUCAAGUCCUAAUCCCAAAUUUUUCUUCCUUAAUCUCCACUAAUACCAUGAUUAAACAAUGGAAAAAUGAUCAUAAACCCAAAUAAUGAAGCUUAGGAAACAUACCCAACUGAUUCCCUUCGACCUUCCCUUAAAAUCACUGCCCUAGCUCGCUUCCCGUCUUCAAAAAUGGAGAACUUAGCUAAAUUUCAUGAAGGAAACAAAAUAUGCCUUCUGGCCCAGAUACCGCUUCUGCGGUACCGCAUUUACGGUCAAUGAGCCGCUUCUGCGGCUUUUACUUAAAAGUCCAAAAUCGUAUCUGUGACCAAGUAGGCACACCUGCCCCAUCGCAAGUGCGUUCAGCCCACCGCAUCUGCGGCUCCUACCCUUCUCCUCUUUGACCGCUUCUACGGUCCUUUCCUCGCAUCUGCGACAUCGCGCCUACGGUCCCCAAUCGCAUCCAUCCAUCCGUCAUCCAUCCGAAAUCACCCCAAAGCCCCCCGGGACCUCAACCAAAAGCACCAACAUAUCCCAAAACCUUAUUCAAACUUAUACCAAUAUUCAAAACACCUCAAAUAACAUCGAAUCAACCAAAACACAUUGGAUUUAAGCCUAAGUUUUCCAAAAUCUUCUAACUUAUGCUUUUGAUCAAAAACCCAACCAAACCACGUCCGAAUGGCCUGAAAUUUUACACACACAUCCCAAAUGACACAACCGAACUACUGCAACUCUCGGAAUUUCAUUCCGACCGCUAUAUCAAAACCUCACCUAUCAAUCGAAAAUCGUCGAAAAUUCAAUUUCGCCAAAGCUUACAUCUACUCCGGACCUCCAAAACUCAUUCCAAUCAAGCUCCUAAGUCCCAAAUCACCUCUUAAAGCUAACCAAACUAUCAGAACUCACANNNNNNNNNNNNNNNNNNNNNNNNNAAUAGACAUAGCAAUAAGAAGUAGAAAUAGGGAAAAUGGAGCAGUAACUCAUGAGACGACUGGACGGGUCGUCACAUCCUCCCCAACUUAAACAAAUGUUCGUCCUCGAACGAGUCAAGAAACAUACCUGAAGCCUCAAACAGGUCAGGGUAUCUGCUCCGCUUCUCCCGCUCUGUCUCCCAAGUAGCCUCCUCCAUGGGAGGGCCUCUCUACUACACUUUCACUGAAGCUAUAUCCUUUGACCUCAACUUUCGAACCUGACGACCCAAAAUAGCUACUGGCUCCACAUCAUAGGUAAAAACAUCAUCCAGUUGAACCGUGCUGAAAUCUAGAACAUGAGAUGGAUCCCCAAUAUAUUUCUGAAGCAUAGAAACGUGAAAUACUGGAUGCACACUCGACAAGCUGGGUGACAAAGCAAGAUCAUAAGCCACCUCCCCAAUCCUCCGAAGUACCUCAAAAGUCACAAUGAACAGAAGACUCAAUUUACCUUUCUUCCGAAAUAUCAUAACACCCUUCAUGGGCGAAACCUUCAACAAAAACUUCUCGUCAACCAUGUAGGACACAUCUCGAACCUUCCUGUCAGCAUAACUCUUUUGUCUUGACUGUGCUGUAUGAAGUCUCUCCUGAAUUACCUUCACCUUUUCCAAGGCAUCCUGCACCAAGUCUGUCCCAAUAGCCUAGCCUCACCUGGCUCAAACCAACCAACUGGAGAUCUACACCGUCUCCCAUAUAAAGCCUUAUAUGGAGCCAUCUGAAUACUCGACUGUUAGUUGUUGUUAUAAGCAAACUCUACAAGCGGUAGAAACCGAUCCCAUGACCCUCUGAAAUCAAUGACACAAGCACUCAACAUGUCCUCCAAUAUCUGAAUAGUGCGCUCAGACUGCCCGUUCAUUUGAGGAUGAAAAUCUGUGCUCAACUCAACCUGAGUACCCAACUCCCGCUACACAAACCUCCAAAACUGCGAAGUAAACUGAGUGCCCCCAUCUGAAAUUAUGGAAACUGGGACACCAUGCAAACGAACAAUCUCUCGGAUAUAUAUCUCUGCCAACCGAUCUGAAGAAUAGGUAGUACACACAGGAAUGAAGUGCGCGAACUUGGUCAGCCGAUCCACAAUCACCCAAAUAGCAUCGAACUUCCUCAAAGUCCGUGGGAGCCCAACUACAAAGUCCAUGAUGAUCUGCUCCCACUUCAACUCUAGAAUAUCCAUCCGCUAAAACAAGCCACCCGGUCUCUAAUGCUCAUAUUUCACCCGCUGACAAUUGAGACACCGAGAUACAAAUCUCACAAUGUCUUUCUUCAUUCUCCUCCACCAAUAAUGCUGUCUCAGAUCCUAAUACAUCUUCGCGACACCCGGAUGGAUGGAAUAUCGUGAGCUGUGGGCCUUCUCUAGAAUCAACUCCUAAAGCCCAUCCACAUUGCGCACACAUAUCUGGCCAUGCAUCCUCAACACCCCAUCAUCACCAAUAGGCAUAUCUCUGGCAUCAUCGUGCUGGAAUCUGUCCUUAAGGACAAGCAAAUGUGGAUCAUCAUACUGGCGCUCUCUGAUGCGAUCAUAUAAGGAAGACUGAGAAACCACACAAGCCAAUACCCGACUGGGCUCCGAAAUAUCUAACCUCACGAACCGAUUGGCCAAGGCCUGAACAUCAACUGCAAGAGGUCUCUCCCCAACUAGAAUAUAUGCCAAACUCCCUAUAUUCACCGCCUUUCGGCUCAAGGCAUCGGCCACCAUAUUGGCCUUCCCCGAUUGUACAAUAUAGUUAUAUCAUAAUCCUUAAGCAACUCCAACCACCUCUACUACCUCAAAUUGAUAUCCUUCUGCUUGAACAAGUGUUGGAGGCUACGAUGAUCUGUAAACACCUCACAAGACACACCAUACAAGUAAUGCCUCCAAAUCUUCAAGGCGUGAACAAUGGUAUCCAACUCCAAAUCAUGAACGGGGUAGUUCUUCUUAUGGGGCUUCAACUGACGAGAAGCAUAAGCAAUAACUCUACCCUCCUGCAUCAAUACACAACCAAUACCCACUCUCGAAGCAUCACAAUACAUGGUAUAUAAACCGAAAGCUGAUGGCAAAACUAACACUAGAGCCAUGGUCAAAGCUGUCUUGAGCUUCUGAAAGCUCUCCUCACACUCGUCCGACCAUAAAAAUGAAGCACCUUCUGAGUCAACUUGGUCAAGGGCGAUGCGAUAGACGAGAAUCCUUAAACAAACCGGCAAUAAUAGCCUGCCAAACCAAGAAAGUUGUGAAUCUCUAUGGCUGAGAAUGGUUUGGUCCAACUCUAAACUGCCUCUAUCUUCUUCGGAUCAACCUGAAUACCCUCACUGGAUACCACUGCCCUAAGAAAGCCACUGAACUUAGCCAAAACUCACACUUGGAGAAUUUUGCAUAAAGCUUCUCCUCCCUCAAUCUCUCCAACACAACUCUCAAAUGCUCUGCGUGCUCCUCCUGACUAUGCGAAUACAGCAGAAUAUCAUCAAUGAAGACUAUGACAAACGAGUCGAGCUGAGGCCGGAACAUGCUGUUCAUCAAAUGCAUGAACGUUGCUGGGGCAUUGGUCAGCCCAAAAGACAUCACUAAGAACUCAUAAUGACCAUAUCAGGUCCUGAAAGUUGUCUUAAGAAUAUCCGAGUCUCUGAUCUUCAACUGGUGAUAACCCGAAUGGAGAUCAAUCUUGGAGAACACUCUUGCUCCCUGAAGCUGGUCGAAUAAAUCAUCAAUGCAAGGCAAGGGAUACUAGUUCUUAAUUGUUACUUUGUUCAAUUGCCUACAAUCGAUGUACAUCCUCAUUGUGCCAUACUUCUUCUUCACAAAUAGAACCGACGCGCCCUAAGGCGACACACUAGGCUGAAUGAACCCCUUUAUCAGGGAGUUCCUGAAAAUACUUCUUUAACUCCUUCAACUCCGCUGGUACCAUACGAUACAGCGGAAUAGAGAUGGGUUGAGUGCCCGGCACUAGGUCAAUACCAAAAUCAAUAUCUCUGUCCGGUGGCAUGCCCGGCAGGUCUGCAAGAAACACAUCAGUAAAAUCCCUCACAACUAGGACAGAAUCAAUACUGGGAGUAUCUGCACCGACAUCCCUCACAAAAGCUAGAUACGAAAGACAUCCCUUUCCAACCUUACGCUGGGCCUUUAAUAAUGAGAUCACUCUACUGGGAACAUAAUCAGUCAAACCUCGCCACUCGAUCUAUGGCACACCCGGUAUAGCCAAUGCGACUGUCUUGGUAUGACAGUCCAGAAUAGCACGAUACGGAGAUAACCAAUCCAUGCCUAAAAUGACAUCAAAAUCCACCAUACACAAUAAUAAAAGAUCCACUUGGGUCUCUAGACCCCUAAUAGUUACCACACACGACCGGUGCACACGGUCUAAAUUAAUAGUAUCGCCCACCGGAGUAGAUACAUGAAUAGGUGAAACAAGAGACUCACAGGGCGUAUCCAUAAAACGGGCAAAGAAUGAUGACAGAUAAGAAAAGGUGGAACCGGGAUCAAAUAAUACAGAGGCAUCUCUGUGGUAGACUGAAACAAUACCUGAAAUCACGGCAUCUGAAGCAGCAACAUCUGGUUUACCUAGGAGGGUAUAUAAACGAGUUUGACCACCACCUGAUCGACCUCCUCUUCUAGGUAAUCCCUAGCUGACUGAUGUCGUAACUAAGACCGCCUGAGCCAGACCGGUACACACUGAUAAAAUCUGAGCUAAAGCCUCAUGAAGGCCUGCAAUCAUAAUACGCACAGUUGGUGCCUGAGCUGGUACUGAUGUAGCAUCCACAACUGGGACCUGAUCCUGAACUGGGGCAGCUGGUAAAUUUACAGGUGUUGCCCUAGCUGCUCUUCCCCUACUAUGGCCUCGAUCGUGUCCUUGGCCUUUAGUGGCCCCAGCUGGUGGUACUAGUGGCCGUCCAUCCUGCCCGGUAGCAUGUGUCCUCAUCCUCUAUGAGAGAAUGGAAUAACAGAAGUUUAGUACUCGGAUCAACAGAUUCGCACGACAAGAAUUCCAAGAAUGUGAAGUUUUUCCUAAAGGUUCUGCAGCCUCUUGAGGAUAAGUACAGACGUCUCCGUACCGAUCCGUGAGAUUUUACUAAACCGGCUCAUGAAUCGCGAGACCUAUGUAACCUAGGCUCUGAUACCAACUUGUCACGACCCCAAAUACCCUAUCGUGAUGGCACUUAUCACAUUACUAAGGAAGCCAACCCAAAGCAUUAACUACAACAAAUUCCUUUUAUAAAACCAUUUUUUCUAACACAGGUUUAAAGCCUCAAUUUUUCAUAAGAAGUGCAUAAAACAGCCAAAAGGUGCGGAAAUCAAUAUAACGUUAAACCAACACAGCCCAAAUAUCUGGUGUCACAAGUCUAGAGCCUCUAACAUAUACAAAUCUGACUAUCUGAUACAAAACAAGUCUAAAAUGCGAUAAAACAAGGAUAGAGGAAGAAAGCAAGGUUGUGGAUGCCAUGCAGCUACCUUACAGUCUCCAGCAAACUCUGAUAAUGCUGAGAACCCUCACUCUGCUGCUUGGGCACUUAGAUCUGCACACACGGUGCAGGGAGUAAUGUGAGUACGCCAACUCAGUAAGUAACUAAAGUAAAUAAGGUCCAAAAGCAGUGAUGAGCAGUUAAAGUCAUAUAAAGGGGUAAACAACAAGACAAUAGAUCAAACUCUACAGUUUAAAACCAGUUUCGUCAUAAAAUCUCAAGUUUCAUUUGGAAUACUUGAAAUCAUUUACUUAGCAAUUCAUCAACAGAGGCUUAUUUUAAUAAGAUGAGUUAGAGCAGCGAAAAUAUCAUAAAUGGGCCCCUCGGCAAGAUAUCACUCAGAAUGUGGCCUCUAGGGCAGCCUUUCAAUCACUCGUGACUCAGCUCUCGCCACUCAGUACUCACACUCAGCACUCAGGCUCAUUAAUAUCUCAUAAUAGUAAUAAUCAUAGUAACCGCAACGGCGUGUAGCCCGUUCCAUAGUUUAUAGUCGACUACGCUCACUAAAGGUGUACAGACUCCGGAGGGGCUCCUACAACUGAAUCGUCAUAUUGAUGCGGCGUGCAGCCCGAUCCAAUAUAUAUAUCGCUACGGCAUGCAGCCCGAUCCAUAUAAGUAUCACUGCGGCAUGCAGCCCGAUCCGUAAUUCAUACAUAUAUAAAUAUCCUCACCAUUAGGUUCUCAACCUAUCUCAGUCAUUAACCUCACUGCCUCUCGGGUACAACAAUAGAAAUUAGGGAACUCAGUCAAACAAUCCUCACAUUUAAGAAGUCGAGUGAUAAAACCAGUUGUGAAUAAUAAAAAGGUAAAUCAUGACUGAGGAUAUACUUUCAAACAAGUAGAGUGAGAAAAAUAGUAAAAAUGCCCCUAAGGGUCUCAACAGGUCGGCAUAAGGCCCCAAACAUGGCAUACAGCCCAUAAUACAGUAUAGUGAGAAAUCAAAUACAUGGCUUAAUAGUCGCUGUGGGACGGACCAAGUCACAAUCCCUACCGGUGCACGCCCACACGCUAGUCACCUAGCAUGUGCAUCACCGCAUUUAUCAAAACAAUUCAAAUACUGGGGUUUUGUACACUCAGUUCUAGAUUUACAAUGGUUACUUACCUCAAACCGGUGGAAAUACUACUAUGCGAUGCCUUUGCCCCUCGAAUUGGCCUCCACUCGCGUCGAAUCUAUCCAAAAUCAGAAUCACGACGUCAAAAUAUACUAAGGGAAUGAAGCCCAAGAGAAAAUAAUCAAAUUAUACCAAAAGUUUCAAAAUUGGCCAAACCCGACUCCCAGGCCCACGUCUCGAAACUCGAUAAAAAUCACAUGAACGGAAUUCUUAUCCUUCCACGAGUCCAUUCAUACCAAGAACACUAAAAUCAGAGUACAAAUGGCCCCUCAAAUUUCCAUUUUAAAGUCUCUUAAUCUCAAGUCCUAAUCCCGAAUUUUUCUUCCUUAAUCUCCACUAAUACCAUGAUUAAACAAUGAAAAAUGAUCAUAAACCUAAAUAAUGAAACCAACUGAUUCCCUUCGAUCUUCCCUUGAAAUCACUGACCUAGCUUGCUUCUCGUCUUCAAAAAUGGAGAACAUAGCAAAAUUUUGCCAAGGAAACAAUAUAUACCUUCUGGCCCAGGGAUUCCGCACCUGCGGCCCAGAUAUCGCUUCUGCGGUACCGCAUUUGCGGUCAAUGAGCCGCUUCUGCGGCUUUCACUUAAAAGUCCAAAAUCGCAUCUGCGACCAAGUAGUCGCACCUGCGCCAUCGUGGUGCGUUCAGCCCACCGCAUCUGUGGCUCCUACCCUUCUCCUCCUUGACCGCUUUUGGGUCCUUUCCUUGCAUCUGCGGCAUCGCAAAAUACCAGAAGCAGAAAUUUGCAGCUUCACCAAAAAUCUCAAACUCUCUGUCAACCAUUCGAAAUCACCCCGAGGCCCCCGAGACCUCAACCAAAAGCACCAACAUAUCCCAAAACCUUAUUCAAACUUAUACCAAUCUUCAAAAUACCUCAAACAACAUCGAAUCAACCAAAACACAUCGGAUUCAAGCCUAAGUUUUAAAAAGUCUUCUAAAUUAUGCUUUUGAUCAAAAACCCAACCAAACCACGUCCGAAUGACUCAAAAUUUUACACACACAUCCCAAAUGACACAAUGAAACUACCUCAAUUCUCGGAAUUCCAUUCCGACCCCUAUAUAAAGCUUUCACCUAUCAAUCGUAAAUCGCCGAAAAUCCAAUUUUGCCAAUUCAAGCCUAAAUCUUCUCCAAACCGCAAAAACUCAUUCUGAUCACGUUCUUAAGUCCCAAAUCACCUUCCGAAGUUAACCGAACCAUCAGAACUCACAUCAGAUCCCUCUAAUACAUAAGUCAAUAUCCGAUUGACUUUUCCAACUUAAGCUUCCUCAAAAGAGACUAAGUAUCUCAAACCUUACCAAAUCCUUUCCGAACCCGAACCAAUCAACCCGAUCACAUGUAGACCAAUAAACAAAGCAAUAAGAAGCAGAAAUGGGGAAAAUGGAGUGGUAACUCAUGAGACGACUGGCCAGGUCGUCACAAGUUCGUGGCAGCAUAUUGAUGAUGAAUCAUCUUCCUUCAAUUGCCCAAGCAUUUUCUUUGCUGAUUCAAGAGGAAAGGCGGAGAGAAAUCAAACUAAAUUAUCAUUUAACUCUGGAGUCAUCAGCCUUGAAUACUGGCACAAUCAGAUCUGGGACAUUCAGAGCAAACUAUUCUCUCAGUAAUAAUCACAACAACAGGACUAGGCCCUUCUGUGAUUAUGGUAAGAAAGCAGGUCACACCAAAGAGAAAUGGUACAAACUUCAUAGAUACCCACAGAGUUUUAGUCAGAAUCAGAAUCCAAACAUAAAUCAAAGCAGUUUCAAUCAAAAUUCUAGGUAAAAUUUCAACCACAACUACAAUUCAAGGAACAAUCAUGGCAACAAAUUCAAUAGAGGAAAUAGAAUAGUAGCCAAUACACAUAUAGCAACCACUGAUACUCAACCUGCUGAGACUGAGAAAUAUGUUGGUCAUGACAACACUCAAAGUGUAAGUCUUACCCAAGAGGAGUACAACCAGUUGGUGAACCUACUGCAAUAGUUUCAAUCAGGAGGAUGAGGAAGAGAUUGCACAUUUGGUACCAACGUUGCAUCAGGAACAACAAACUUUGCAGGUAUGAUAGCUUGUACUUCCUCAAUUGACUUUGGUAAACUGUCAUAUGAAUGUUUCAAGAACAAAGAUGAUUAAUGGAUUAUAGAUUCAGGGGCAUCAAACAACAUGACUUUUAACAGAUCCUUGCUAACCAACAUAAUAACCUUACCUUAUCCCCUAUUAGUUAUACUUCCAAAUGACUACAAGGUAAAGGUGACAGAAAUUGGUAGUGUGAUUCUCACUUCUAAGAUCACUCUAGAUAAAGUGAUGUUUGUUCCCACUUUUAGAUACAAUUUGAUCUCUGUUCAUUCUUUAGCCUCUCAUCUCAACUGUCUUGUUGCUUUUGUCAAACAUUGCUGCAUACUGCAGGACCCUUCAAUGAAGAAGCCUCUGGUGAUUGGUAGAGUGAAAGAUGGGAUGUACAUCCUAUGCCCAAGCUGUCUUAAAAAGAACAGUACAAGCACUGCAGUAAAGGACACUUAUACAUUACCUACCAUUUCGACUUGUUGCACUUGUAACACACACUGUCCCUCCCAUUCUACUGUAAAUAUGCCAUUACAUACAAAUAAGUGUGUUUCUUAUCCAAUUGUAAAUAGUCCAUGUGCAGCUAUUGAAAAAUAAGCUUCCUUUACAAGUCCAUCUUCUGAAUUUCCUAGCAUAUUAUCUCAUUCUUGUGUUGAAAAUAAUUUGAAUGUGUUGUGGCAUAAUAGACUUGGACAUUCCCCCCUUGUCAAAAUGAAGAACAUUACCUCUAUACCUGCCAACUUCUCUCCCAAACAACCCUUCAACUGCACCAUUUGUCCAAUGGCCAGACAAGAAAGACUGUCAUUCCCUCAUAAAACCAGCAUAACCAAUAAAAUAUUUGAUCUUUUACAUGUUGAUUUGUGGGGUCCAUAUCAUGUUCCUACACAUGAUAGAUAUAAGUACUUCAUAACCAUAGUAGAUGAUUAUAGCAGGUCUACUUGGACUGACCUUAUGUCCAGCAAAAGUAACGCCCUUGAGAUACUAAAAGAAUUCAUGAACCUAGUAGAAAACCAGUUUGGUGUAACUAUCAAGUCCACCAGGUUAGACAAUGGAUUAGAAUUCACUAGUAAAGAAGCAACUAUGUUAUUUCAGUCUAAAGGGAUCAUUCAUCAAAGAACUUGCCCCUAUACACCACAAUAGAAUGGUGUGGUGGAGAGAAAGCACAAAUACCUCCUUGAAACAGCUAGAGCCCUUCUCUUCUAAUCCAAACUACCUCUAAGAUACUAGAGUGAAUGUGUCCUUUGUGCCACUUAUAUUAUAAAUAGAUUACCUUCCAAUUCUAUCAACAAUCAAACCCCAUAUGAAUUAUAUACAAAAAGAAGCCAAAGUAUUCUCACCUAAAGAGCUUUGGUUGCCUAUGUUACCCCACUAUGCCAGUACCACAUAGAGAUAAGUCCAAUCCCAGAACAACACCUCAUGUAUUUAUUAGGUAUCCUUUCAACACAAAGGGGUACAAGGUUCUAAGUCUAGCCACUAGGAAAAUCCAUAUCUCUAGAGAUGUGGUGUUUAAUGAAUCCAUUUUCCGUUUUGGAGUUAAUAUGAACCAAUCUUCUCAAUCAUCUAUCCCCUAUCCAAUCCCCUCCAUUGAGUCCCUAAGUGAACAAUCUUCUGAUGAUACAAAUAUCACAUAGACUCCUGAAAACUUGAGUGAUCAAAGGAGUGCAGACAACACAUCUCAUCCUAUGUCACCUGUACAUGUAGCUCCUCCAUCACCGUAUGCAGCACCUAUUUCUUCACCACAUGAUACAUUAUCACAAUAGUACACUGAAUAGAGCCAUGAUGAACAGGCUCAACCAACAAGGCAGUCACACAAGACUCAUAAAAUUCAUACCUACCUACAGGACUAUGUUCAUUCCCUUUCUCACCUUAAAACAAACUCUGCCCCCUAAAUGCUUUAUUUUCUGUGAAUCACCAUAUUUCCUCUGAUCUACUAACUCCUGAUAGUCAGACUCUUGUGAGAAAUGUUUGUCAUGGCAGGGAGCUAUUAUCAUAUGAGGAGGUAGCAAUUGACCCUGAAUGGCAAGCUGCAAUGAUAUAGGAGUUUGAUGCAUUGUAUUCCAAUCAUACUUGGGACUUAGUAAUACUACCACCUGGGAAGCAGAAAAUUGGUUGUAAAUAGGUAUACAAGGUGAAGCACAAAACAGGUGGUAGUAUUGAGAAGUUCAAAGUAAGGUUGGUUGUCAAAGGUUAUACUCAGCAGGCAGAAAUAGAUUAUACAAAAACCUUCUCACAAGUUGUAAAGAUGACAAUAGUGAGGGCCUUAAUAACUACAGCAGUUAAGAAAGGCUGGUUCAUUUCUCAGUUGGAUGUGAACAAUGUUUUUCUCCCUGGAGACCUCAAUGAAGAGGUAUAUAUGCAGGUACCACCUGGAUUAGUUGUAGAAAAAUCAGGUUUGGUUUGUAAAUUAAACAAGUCCCUCUAUGGUCUGAAACAAGCAAGUAGACAAUGGUAUGCAAAACUGACUGAAGCACUGUGCUCAAGGGGCUACACAAUUUCAUGCAUGAUUACUCACUCUUCUACAAAAGGAAUGGAGAUUCAUCAGUAUAUGUUGCAGUGUAUGUGGAUGAUGUGUUACUAACUGGGACUUAUCAGAAAGAAAUUGCACAACUCAAAGCAUUCCUGCAUGAAUAGUUCAAGAUCAAGGACCUGGGACAACUUCACUACUUCCUAGGAUUGGAGAUUAUCUAUAAAGAUGAUGGGGUCAUCAUAUCACAAAGAAAGUUUGUGUUAGAUUUGCUGAAGGAGUAUAAUUGUUUGGAGCACAAGGCCUGCUCUUCACCUUUGGAUCCUACUAUAAAACUGAAAGCCAAAGAAGGGAUAAUACAGCAGGAUCCUACUUGUUAUGGAAAGCUAGUAGGCAAACUAAACUUUUUAACCAACACCAUAUUAGACAUAUCAUAUAGUGUUCAACACUUAAGCCAGUUCGUGCAGGAGCCCUGAGAACCUCAUCUAAAGCAACAUUCCACUUGCUCAGAUAUCUGAAGAAUGAUCCUACCUUAGGAAUUUUCAAGUCAAAGGAUGGAGAUCACACAGUCAAGGCCUAUUGUGACUCUGAUUGGGCAGCCUGCCCAGACUCUAGGAGGUCCAUCACAGGUUAUCUAGUUCUACUAGGUAACAAUCCUAUUAGUUGGAAGUCUAAGAAACAAGAGACCAUAUCCCUAUCCUCUGCAGAAGCAGAAUACAGAGAUUUGAGGAAAGUAGUGGGAGAACUGGUAUGGUUAAGCAAAUUGUUUGAAGAAUUGACUGUCCCAUUUUCCUUGCCUAUCUCAGUCUUCUGUGACAGCUAAUCUGCAUUGCAAAUUGCAAAGAACCCAGUAUUCCACGAAAGGACUACGCACAUAGAGGUGGACUGUCACUUCGUACGUGAUCAACUACAAGCAUGCUUAAUUUCUCUCCACCAUAUCAGAAGAGAUAAGCAGCUCGCAGAUAUCCUAACUAAAGCCCUGACUGGGAUCAAACACAAUGCUAUAUUAGGCAAGUUGGUUGUGUUCACCACACCUCCAACUUGAGGGAGGUUGUUAAGAUUAAUUAUGUAUAUUAGUUACUUGAUUAGUCAGUUAGGAGUUAGUGGAGUCAUUAGUUAGUUGAAGUUGUCAGCUGUACCAAUCAGUUAGUUAACUGAUUGGUACAGAAUUUCUCUAUUCAAUCAUUAGCUUGUUUUCCUAGCUUAGUUUCUCGAUUGUAUAUAGUGGAGAUUCUACUCAUUCUUUCAUUGAUUGAAUAGAGAAAUUCUGGAAAGUUCCUCUAUCUCUUCCUUCACCAUUCCUCUCAUUGUGACCUUUCACGGCGUAGAGGCUUGGAUCCUUUUUCCAUUGAAGCUCAGCUAGCUUCAAACUAAUGUUUCAUUGAAAGUUUUGAUAACAUGUGCUUAUGUAGCUGUACAAGAAGAAAUUGGAGUUGUACUGUCGAAAUUAUUAUUUCUUAUAGGGAUAUUGGUAUUGUGUUCCAAUAAACACGUGUACUACAUCACAUAUACACGUGUACUGCUUUGUCCGAUUCUUUACCAUACCACUUACUAAACGUCUUUACCCUAAUUACACUUCUCUCAUCACCUGUUCUUUAAUUUUCUCUUUUACUUUUUCUCUUUCACUUAACCUGAAGACCAGGCCUUCCAUGGCAGUCUAAUCUAUCCUCACGGCCUGACUAAAACCUUAUCUCCGAGUCUCACCCAGUGUAUUAGGUUUCGUUCCUCUCAAGCUCUUUUAUUUAUAGAUGUAUGUGUUCUUAUUUUUGGGGGAUUUUUCCUCUUUCCUCUCCAAUUUUUCAUCUAUCCAAUUCGAUUUUUUGGAUUUGACUUAUCACGGGUUUCUCUACUUCAGUUUUGUUUGCAUUUGAUUUUUCUGAUCACUUAUCCAUUGCAAGUUUGUCAUCUCCUUAAACAAAGGAUCGUGAUAUUUGCUGUUCAUUAUUGCAAAAAAAAAAAAAAAAUCGACAUAAGUUGUGUAUUUUUUGAGCAAGUUUUGUGUAUUUGGAUGCAAAGAAAUAAUCUUUUAGAUUAUUUAACUAUUUCUUUUCGAUUGACUUUUCAGGGUUUCAUGCAUAUGCAUCCAGAAUGUGGGCAUUUGCAUCUAUAUCCGUUUUUUGUAUCACGUUUUAACUUGUGCCCGCUUUGUAAAAAAAAUUACAAACGUACCCGUUUUUUCGCAUAACUUCAACAUACGGGACUGAAGUAGCAAAUGCAAUCACGCAAAAUGUCAGCAUUCUAGUAGCCGGGCCUGAAGUUCAGCUCUAGAACUGAAGUUUGUUUUGUAACUGGCGAAGCUGAAGUUUUUGUUUGUAACUUGCGAUUUUUAUUUUGUAACUGUCGAACUUCAGCUCUAGAGCUAAAAAUUUUGUUUCGUAACUGUCGAAUUUGAGCUCUAGAGCUGAAAUUUUUAUUUGUAACUAGCAAACUUCAGCCUUCUUAGAGUGUUUUAACUCUUAGACAUCUGCGUUUGAGCUUUUGGGACAUCAGCUGAAAUCAAACAAAUUAAAGAUUUCCAUU